GUCAAUAAAUACACACCUGUGUGUGCCACUUGACUUUUCUGUCAUUAAUUGUGUUGUUUUUGCCUCAGAUUGGUGCUUGUCGUCCUCGCAGGGAAGCUGGAAGGUGUGCAGCGUGGUCACAGCCCGCAUGUAACUACACAGACAAAGACUGGAUGAGUCCCUCCAAGCUGACCUGCUGCACCAUGGACUGGAGCAUGUCGCCCAGGGUCUGCACCAGCUGGCAGAAGGAGGGUCGCUCGCUGGCCUCGGCAUCCCAGCAGGCCAGCAUUGUGCACUGUGCUGUACUCCGGCGCUCCCAUCCUGGUUCCUGCCUUCAGUCUGUGGCAGAAGUCCUCGUCGAUGUGGAGACCGGGGUAUGGGGACGCUCCUAGUGGACACCCGUGGCGUUAUAUGCACCGCCAGCACAGGACUCCCCGGGGAGUGAGCGCUCUUACCCAGAGAGAAGAUCUCCCAGAGGAGAACGCCAAAGGACCACACGUCACUUUGUGUGGUGAACACCUUGUCAAAGAUGGACUCUGGAGACAUCCACUUCAGAGGCAGGCGGGCCUGUCAGCCAAUCAGAGCACAGUGACAAGCUUGCUGGUCCAUGACGAUGAUUUCUGUUUUGUUUUAUCAACCGUUUUACUGCCGUGCUACAGACAUUGUUUUGAAAACAAUUAAGAGCACGAUGAGAUUAUUUGUAUUACCUUGCGAGAGGCCAGGAACUGCAUUCCUCUUGCCACCUGGAAGCUGAAGGAGAUGAGGUCCUCCAGAAACAAAGGAGGAGCGUUGGAGGGCCGAAUGUCAACUGAAGCAAAAAACACAUAAAUAUUCACAUUAAUAUUGUAAAUACACUAAAAAUACUUUUUUAUGUGACUAGUGUCGUGUCUUACCGUCUUUAAAGAGUAAUCUUAUCGUUGCAGUCUUUUCUCCAUUUAUUUGCAUCCCCUGAGAGGAAAAAAAAAAUAUUUACAUACGUUUCUUCUACAGAAUCCAGUAAGAAUCCAGUGAACAGUCACACAUUUCCUCUGAUUGCACUCAUGGAAGAAAUUUGAUUUCAAGUUUUUGAAAACAUUUAUUAUGUACAUUAUGACUUUCUAUCUUAAAUGCUACAUUACAAUUGUUAUUUUACAAAGUAAUUAAGGUUACUUGUUAGUAAUUAAAUUAUAAACAUAAUUACUCAUUCAUAAAUGUAUUUAACUAUGGAAAAUAAUGAAUGCAUUUAUGAACGUAUUUUUCAAAUCCUUUCAUUUGGGUUACAAAUGGACACUGCGCCUAAAUAACCCCUUGCGCCUAGUGUACGUAUCAAUUGAGGUUGUGCGAAGCAGAUUUUCCAUAGCGAUCACACAUAAGAGGUACAUGUGCACGGCAGGUUGACGCUUCUUCAAUAAAUGAUGCAAGCAAGCAAAACCAAAACUUUGAUGUGUCUUUGAGAAUAUAGAGCAUCAGAAAAUGUUUUAGUACAACUUUGGUAAGCUACGAUGCCGCACAGCUUAAUGGAACACAGAACAUUAUGUCUACCAAAGUCAGGCGUACUGUGCUUCAACAUACGGUAUUAUUAUGAAGUGUGUAUAAGGAACCCAAAAUGGCACCUAUCAGGAAAAAUCUUUUUUCAUAAUAUUAUGCAAAGCAAACUUUCCUUACUUAUUGGUACCUGUAUUUGGGAUCUGACUAAGUCUUAAAAAUUUGCAUGCGUCAGCCAUUGUCGUUAAUAAACUCCUCCUUUUUCUGUAUCCUCUUGUAGUCUAACCUACUCAGUGGCCUAGUGGUUAGAGUGUCUGCUCUGAGAUCGAUAGCUUGUGAGUUCAAACCCCGGCCGAGUCAUACCAAAGACUAUAAAAAUGGGACCCAUCACCUCCCUGCUUGAUACUCAGCAUCAAGGGUUGCAAUUGGGGGUUAAAUCACCAAAAAUGAUUCCCGGGCGCAGCCACCGCUG